CAAAAUUAGAACGUUGAACACAUUUAUCGGUUCGUGCCAAAAGGAAUAGAGUACUUAAAGUAAAAUACAAAAAUAUAUUGUGACAGGAAUUUACGUAACAGUGUGAUGAUAUGAAGGUUUCAUAAAUAGGAGAUAUUUUUAAGUGUAAAACAUGUCAGAAGACACAUUAUGUGUUGGCGAUUCUGUUUGUCUUUAUGCCACAGAGAGCUAUGGAUUUGUUAUGUCCACACAAUCAAGGUGGGUGUUUUAAAAGGUUCAAAUCGAUCUUAUAUCUUAGUAUCACUGUCUUGAUUUUGAAAAUGAAAGUUUCUAACUGUCUAUAUCUAACUAUCUAUAACUUAUGGAUAUGUACGACGAAGAAUUGUAUAACGAACGAGUGAUUAAAUAAAGGAAAGAAAGUAUUACAAACUUCCCCUUUUUGGUGGUAAUUGAGCGUUUGAAAUAAUACAUCAACAACUAUACACAUUAGAGCUGGUAUAGGGAUUGUUGUCAUCUAUUUCGUUUCACUGUCAGCUAAGAAUCUUCCUUUUUUUUUGUAUAAUCGUCUAACAAACUGCACGAGAAUUUUCGAAAUAGUUUUUAAUUUCAAAUAAAGAAUUGUAACAAAUCAAUUGACUCGAAUCUGCUGUUUGGAAUAGCCACAAACCAAAUUGUUGUGAAUUUACUACAGUACUGGAAAACCUUUCUGGGGUAACCAUCAAGUGCGUGUGUAUAGCCAUUUACUACAAGGAAUGAAGGCAACAGCAAAAACAAAAUAAGAAUCCUUUUUUCAAAAGAAUUCAUUUAUUGAUCAUUUUAUAAAAAAAGCAGUUGAAGAUAAAUAAAGUUCAGUUAUCAAAUUUGUGGCGAACUCCAACAAGUAGGGAACAUGCAAUUUAUACAAGACUUAGACAUUAUAAAUUAUGAAAACGCCUAUAUGAAUUGUUGUUCUUACUAGAAAGUUACUUGAACGAUAACAGGAUAGAACGCGCCGUUUUUUUCUUAUAUCUUAGUCAUUCACGUAAAUAGACCAAAUUAUGGUAGAAUUUAUUUACAUGGGUAAAAUCUAUAUACCCACAUACAUUGCAGGUAGACUAGCAAUCAUAUACCCCAUUGCUUUUAAUGAAUCUGACACCAAAUUUGGCAAGUGGUGUCGCAGUUUGUGCUACAGUUUCAUUUAUAAGUAUUGGGGGGGGGGGACGUGCUACAGUUUCAUUUAUAAGUAUUGGGGAGGGGACGUGCUACAGUUUCAUUUAUAAGUAGGGGGGGGACAAAUAACGACCUUCACCUUUUUAAAAGUACAAUGAAGAUUCAAAUGCAGUAGAUUUCUAGAUAUGGUACUAGUGUGUCUUUAUUUGGUAAACGACUGGAGCAUAGGGAACAAACAAAAUAUUGCAUCAAUACCCAUAAUUGCUUUCAUAAAGUUAUUUCAAAUCAUUGUAAAAAAAUAGAAGUCAUUGGGCUUAUCUCCUUUUAUAUCCCACUGGCAUGACAUCGUUGAAUGUUCAAUAUCCUCUUACUUACCAUUGUAUCUUAAUGAUAGAUUAUUAGAUUCUAUAAAGUACUAUUUUGCGAUGUAAUGACUAUUGAUCUGAUACAUGCAGUUUACCUAUAUUCUAUUGUAUUAACUGAAAGGUAAAUAAGUCGGUCAUGUUGACGUAAAUCGAUGAUUUGCUCCUGUGUUUAGUGAAUAUCGAAUAUGGAUUUCCGAAAUUUCCAACGCAUCUCUUUUACAGCUAUCUAUCACGCUUUUUGGUAAAAACAAAUCAGAGACAUGAACUUAUGCAAACUAUAUAGGAUAUGAAAUAAAUCGCCGACUAUAAAAUAACUGUAUUUGGUAUAUGCAUGGUUCCUUGCUUAAUUGAACGUCUACAUGUCUGUCAGAUAGGGUUCACCCGACCUUGACCUCAUUCCAUGGUCCAAUGAGCAAUGUUAAAAUGAAAUGGUUGUCAGGUGCAUGUGCAUGUCCAUUUAGUAGGUUUCAUUUGACCUUGCCCUCAAUUUCAUGGUUCUUUGGACAAUUUUUAGAUUGUGUGGUUCUCAGAUAUAAUAAGCUAUGGGUUAAAUACAUUUAGUGUAUCUUGAAUUCAAUAUCUAUUUUGUAAAAAAAAAUGACUGAAUUUCUUAAUUUGUAUUACAUUUGACAAAGUUUUCAGUUUCCUGGCUGUUUUCCGAAAUUUCUUGAUAAAAAUCUUAGUUUAUGACCCAAAAAUAGUAUCUUCUAGCUAUGAAAUUGUGUCUAUUCCCGUUAAAGUUCGCGAUUAUUAAGGUUAAGAUACAGUAGAUUUACAUUUGACAAAAUUUCCGGUCUCUAAUUUUCGGCGAAUUUAAAAUAAAAAUCUUAGUUCUUGCCUUAAAUACUAAUUUCUGUUUGUAAUGUUUCCAAUAGAGUUAUAUAAUUGUAAUAAAAGAUGUUGCUUCAUCAGUAACUUAGAUACAAUUGUUUUAAAACCAAACUAUUCUGUAUGUUUGUGUCUGUCCAAAGGCAAUCACACUACAACUUCUUUAUUGUAACCUAUUUCCCCCACUAUUAUCUGGGUAGACUUUUAGUAUAACAAAUGUGAUGACAACCUGGACACACAAACGCUUUGUUGCAGUUGACCUUCAAAUGAAUGUGGUUAUUCUUUUAGGUCCUUUCUGGUCAUAUAGUCCUUCAACUGUUUCGGUUCUUAUAAUUAAACUAUCUUGGCUUUCAAACAUUCGGCUUUCAGUGAGUCCAGAAAAGUGCUUCGAAUUCAUGGAAUUCAUAAAGUGUUGUUUUUAUUUUGGUAAUGUUUAAGCCUUUUCUGCAUAAAUUGACUAGACUUAAAGCCACCAGCCAUCGGUUUAAAAUGUUGGUGAAGGGCGCCGAUGAAUUUAUCUAGGCGAUUUCGGAGUCGAAAACAAAACUGAAAUUAAAGAAGUCAGUUUUUUUACUGUCAGUUUGCUUGGCAAUUAAUGCACCAUAACUUUAAGCCACCAAUCAUAACUAUGUCAUGUGUUAUUCAUCAAAUUUUACAUUUUCAUAUGCCUAUAGCUAAAGAAACAAACUCUUCUUUAAUCGAACAUUCAUUUCAAAGGUAUUCUAAUCUAUCUGUCAAUAUGAUUUUAAGUCUUUAUUGAUUGUUUAAAUGGGGUAUUAAGAAAAUUCAUACAUUAUAAGCAAGUUCUGGUGGCUAGUUCGAUGAACCAUUGACUCGUUAUAUUAAUGUCUGUUCUUCUAAAAGUGUGAAUUGAUGUUCGAUUACAUUGAUUCACAAUGAAGUAAUUAAACCAGAAAAUGAGAGUUACCUUUUAUUUUUUUUGGCUCCAAGGCUUGACUGAAGUAUAGAAAUAUUGCCACUUGGACUUCUCCUGCCCUUGUUAUCUCGUAGUAGUGCUCUUAUCGAGGGCAUGAGGUCUUGGGUCAAUCCAAAGACUUACAAAUCCGUUAUCAGCUAUAUAUAGAAUUCAGCAUUUAGGAGUAAAAGCAAAGACUGGUCGACUAGAAGUCAGAAUAAUAUGUUCGGUAGGGUGACAUGUCUUUUUUCUAACCGUUUUUAUAUCUUGUAAACUAACGCGGGCAUGUUGAGGAAAGAGCAAGGUUGAUAUUCACAUUUAUUAACAUGCUCCCGUCCUAAUCGGCAUUUAAUUUGCCACUUGAUUUUAAAAUUCCAUUUAAUAUCAGUUCAUUAGCCUCCUAGAUCCUCCUACUCCUCCUCGUGCUGAAAAAGGGUAGGGUCAAUGCAGGAUAAUUACAUACAUCGUAGCGACUCGUGGUCGCAAUUUUGUGUCAAUUCGUUUUGGGUGAGAUCCAUGCUAUAUAUAUAUCAGAGUAUAAUUUGUAAUUUCUGUAUUUUAUAAAUGUCCUAAAAAUUUAUGCAUUUUUUAUUCAGAAAAAACUCAUAUUUAUCAAAUGGUCUUGAAUUGAGAAAAAAACGUCAUUUUGUGCUGUAUAUUUAUCAAGAUUAAAAAAAUUGCACUAUUUACAGUUUUAUAAAAAUUGGUCCACAUAAUCUCCCUGGAAAAUGAAACAAUAUGUCGUUUAAAAAAAUAGGGGUCCAUGCACUCGUUUUCAAAUUAAAUCAGUUUGAAUGAUAAAAAUCAGUCGAAAAAUGCAUCUUUUCCCGAUAUGUCACAGUUUGACGUCGCGAAAAUAACAUUUUCCGUUAACAAGGUCAUUACCUCCCCUGUAACUGUAUCGUAUGCCCUUUUUAAAAAAGUGUAUGAAUACACGAGGUUCCGUAUAAACCGUAGCAAACCAAAAUUUAUUGGCGUUCGGAACUUCCUCGUUCUUUCUUACAAACCUCCCCUUUUCAGUAGCAGUAAAUGAUCUCACACCCCUCAGUCGAUAUUCCAUGUUUGCAGAACCAUUCUAAAUUAAUAAGUUUUAUUUUGGUUGUGAUGAAAAUUCAUUUGAUGGCUAAUUUUUGUCACCUGACCUAGACCCUCCGUAUUCACUAGCUCUAGGGGCAUUAGCUGUCAAAUUUAUAUUUACCGUUUUGACUUAGAUUCUCAAUUUGAUUUAUAACAUACUUAAACGUGUAUCCAAAUAAAAAAAAGUCUAGAAUAAGGAAUGAGCAAUAUAUGCCGUCGAUGAUAACAUGUAUCAGCAUUCCAUAUGUAUUUUAGUAUAUUCGCCAUCUACCGAGAAUAGAACAUGCGUAAUCCAUCUCUAGCUAAGGGAUUACAAUGAUGUUAGAUUAUUGACUUGCAAAUCAACAAUACAUCUGCGAUAUUUUCCAGCUUAUUUUCACAAAUUUUGGCCAAACUGUCUGCUUUGAUAUGACGAACUGAUGAUUAUUUAAAAAUUCUGAUUUCAAGUUUUAAUACUUAAAACAAAAAGAAAAAUAUAAUUAAAACGAGCCUGAAUAUUGUUUUUGCUGGCUGCUUCACCAAUAUGUACAUUUUGGGAAAAUAAAAUAAAAUUGAUAAUGGAAAUGGGGAAUGUGCCAAAGAGACAACAACCCGACCAUAGAAAAAAACAACAGCAGAAGGUCACCAACAGGUCUUCAAUGUAGCGAGAAAUUCCCGCACCCGGAGGCGUCCUUCAACUGGCCCCUAAACAAAUAUAUGCUAGUUCAGUGAUAAUGAACGCCAUACUAAUUUCCAAAUUGUACACAAGAAACUAAAAUUAAAAAUACAAGACUAACAAAGGCCAGAGGCUCCUGACUUGGGGACAGGCGCAAAAAAAGUGAGAUCUCAACCCUCCCCCUAUACCUCUAGCCAAUGUAGAAAAGUAAACGCAUAACAAUACGUACAUUAAAAUUCAGUUCAAGAGAAGUCCGAGUCUGAUGUCAGAAGAUGUAACCAAAGAAAAAUAACAAAAUGAAUAAUAACUAAAUAACAACAACUACUAGCAGUUAACUGACAUGCCAGCUCCAGACUUCAAUUAAACUGACUGAAAGAUUAUGAUUUCAUCAUAUGAACAUCAGGCACAAUCCUUCCCGUUAGGGGUUUAGUAUCAUACCAUCAUAACAUAUAUAGUCAUAUGACCUCGGUCUCCUUUUUUGAAAAAAAUCGACUCAGUGGUUAAUUAUUAGAUUUUCACUUUAAAAAAAAGAAGAGUAUAGUAACCUCAAACUCGGAACAAUAUAUAAACCAUGUGUUUGUCACAGCUUUUAGGCGUUUUAAAAUAAAAUUCAUGAAAAUUAUCACAAUCAUUGGCCCAGAAGGAUAUCUGAAGAGAUCGGUGCACUUUUAUGGCCCUUUUUUUGGCACAGAAACUUAGUGAUCGGACGGAACUUACUUCAGUGUGUUAUUAUCGAGAUUUCCGGUUGCAUAUGUUUCUGAAUGGGCAAAACUGAUCAAGAUUUAGUGAGUUACAGCAGCCAAGAUUUACAUUCUAUUUAACCAAUGUAACAAUCAUAGAUUUAUGAAGUAUGAAACGACGAGUUUCCGAUUUGAUCAAUGAACUUGGGAACAAUCGACGGGAAACGUGAUAAUUGUUUAUGGAAAAAAAAAAUCCCCACACAUACAUGACAUACAUGUACAUUUAUGAAAAAUAAGAUGUUAAAUGUAUUUUUCUUUUUUUUUCCAAUACAUUAAAUUAUCUUUUUACAAUACAGUUUCAAAUAUGUUAUUUUAAAACAUACAGUUGUGGUUAAAAAAUAGAAUUUAAUCAUGAUAGAUCAGUAUAUAACUGGGGCAUCAUCUACAGGGGCGGAUCCAGCCAUUUUAAAAAGGGGGAUCCCAACCCAGAGAUAAGGGGGUUGCAACUACAUGCUCCCAUUCAAAUGCAGUGAUCGCCCAAAAAAUAGGGGGUGGUUCCAACCCCUGGACCCCCCCCUUGAUCCGCCAAUGCUUCUAGGGGGCACACAAGUCGACUAUUGAUAUUGUCAACUUUCUCUUUAGUGAAGUAGAGAUACUUUUUAAUUGCAUCAUCAGUUUUCUUACCAUGAAAUCUUACACAAGAUUUUCCAUUCAGUAUAUAUCCAGAAGAUAGUCUUUUUAGAAUUGAAUUACUGAGUGAUGUGUUUUAGCAUGCCGAUAUCAUUAAGUUUUUACCAACUUUUGUUCAUGUAGAUAUCAUUUAGGUGUUAAAUAAAGAAUUCCAUGUUAUAAUAUAUCCGGUAUGUUACUGUGACAUGAACUUGAAAUGCCAUUUUAUAUCAUGUUUAUUAAUGGUUUAUUUGGUAAAUUACCCUAUUUUCAAUCAAGCACCCUGUUCUUUUCAAAACUUAGCUAGAACGCUUCUAACUUUACUUUAGAAAUAACAGUAAAGUAACAAAGAGAUUCUUUUUGACCCUUCACCAUUGUUCACAUGUAUAUAUUAUAUAUAUAUAUUCCUUUCAAUACUGGAAAGGGAGCUUCCAAAAACUAUUUGGAAUAAAACAUUUGAAAAGAGUUUGUUAUGAAUGAAUAUGCUGAUUUUCGUGUAAAACAUUAGAUAUUAAAUAAGAAAAAAUAAGGAGAAGUGGUUUGCUUGCCAAUGAGACAACUGUAUACCUAGGUUCAAAUGAAGUAUAUGUAAGCAAUUAUAGGCAACUGUACAGCCUUCAACAAUGUGAAAAAUCCAAACGGUAUGGUCAGCUUUAAAAAGGGGGGUAUCUGCGCGGAAGAUUGCAAAUCAAAAUUGCCAUUUCACGAUGAACGAACAAUUAAAAAUGUCUUGCACAUUGAUCUUUUUACCAAUUUCACAAAACACAGUAAAUAAUGAACCUUUUUUAGACUGCACAUGAAAUAAAAAUGGCAAAACAUGUUACAAGAAAAUAAUCCUUUACCACCCUCUUAAAAGGCCCUGACAUGUGAAAUAUAAAACAAUUUAAUUGAGAAAACUACAGGUAAUAUAAAUAUAAACAGCCUAAUGUAAAAAAAAAUCAAGUUACAAAAAAGAAAUAUGACAAAAAUGAAUCAACAACAACCACUGAACUACAGGCUCCUGACUGGGGACAGGCACAUAAAUAAUGUGGCAGGAUUAGAUUAGAUAGGCUGGCUCACAACAUUGUUUUGUUUUUGUUUUAUUCCAUCUGAUUGUAAGCAUUUAAUAUUUUUUUUAUUGUCUGUUUCAGCUCUGUACACAAUGAAGUUGCUGUUGGGUGUAGACAGGACAGAGUCAAACCAGAUAUAAAAGACCAACACAGUAUGUUAUUC
rnacentral:lncRNA from 1 species